CCUCCUCAACUUCUUAUACUGCCCCUGCAUCAAUUAACCACCGCUCGCCUUCGUACACCAUGGCGGAGACAAAACGGAAGAAUAAUAGGGCUCCGACAAAGAAGAAUAAAGGCGGCAGGGAUAAGAAGUGGAAAAAGGACCUCAUUGACCUCAUUUACCAAACGCCUUACAGAAAGAGCUCCAUUCACUAAACCCUAGAAACAUUAGCGACCAAGAGAUUCAAUCGGAUGACAAUUUGGAUGUUUAUGAGUAUGAAGAAAAGGUUUCGGAUGACGAGCUGAAGAAGAAUCGAAGGUAUGAUCCUGUUGAGAACUUCGAGUACGAACUCCAUGAGGAUUUUGAGGGAGUGCAAAUAUUACAGAUCUUGUUCUUUGAUGUUCAUAUGCAUGUGAGGGUUGAAGAGGAACACUGAUGAGGAGGAACAAUGGUGCAAACGACAUAAAUACCCUCACAUGAGGGGCACGUGAUAUAACUUAACGUGUAAAAUUAACCAUGUUAGUGCUAAAGUACCUAGGGUCUAAUGAGUUUUACAAAUAAAGAAUUGUUACUAUAAUUAUUGAAGUUAAAAGUUAUCAAUUAUAACUUGAUACAAAUAUAAAAGACGAAAAGUGUAAUUUACCCUAUUAUUGUU
rnacentral:lncRNA from 1 species